ensembl:lncRNA
CACACACACACACAUACAUAUGUAGACACACUCACACACACAUAUGUAGACACACACAGACGUAGACACACACACACACACACACACACACACCUUCCUUCUAUCUAGAUGCUUCUCUCUGUUUCUCUCUCUUCACCUUUCCACAAAGUGUUCCGUUUUCUCCGUACUUCUGCCCAUUCACUUUGCACAUGGACUUUCUAACUGCUAACUGUGGAAUGUUUGCUGCAUGACUUUCUCUUUCUCUCUGUUUCUGUUUCUUUCCUGCUCUUUGAUUGGCUGUUGAUGGUUAGGAUGAGCACAUGUGCCCGACGAGCGCAGGCUCUCCAUUGGCCUCCUCUCUGCUCAUGUUACUGCUGCCACUGUUCAUGUGCUGUCUCGGGAGGAGGACUUUGACUGUGGUGGAGCGUCCGCUCUGAGCCCAUCCCUGUUGGCCAUGGUGGCGCUGCAGCUGGCCCUGCUCUGGCUCCUGGCCGGCUCAACUCACCACGCCGUCCCCUCGUGACCUCUGAAGACCUCGGUUGCCCCCGGCAACCGGCAUGCAACGCCGCCUCAAAACGCCGAACGCUAAAACAAAAAAACAUCUGAAACCACUUCCUGACAGAUCUUCUUUUGGGAUAUUUGCGUUUUUCAAGGGUUUUGUUACAUUUCUUCACCCAGGGGUGGGAGAAAGUGAGGAAAGUUAACAUCGGCGGGAUGUAAAAAAAAUUAUAAGUGGGAACUUUCAUCCCUGACCCCUGACUUUUCCCCUCCAGCCAUCUAAGCUUCCAGCCAUCUAAGCUUAGGGAGAUCGAGGUGAUUGAGUGGUGAACUUUGACCUUUGUUUGGCUCGACGAUGACAACCCUGCGAAUGCUACAGGUUGGACUGCCUUACAGUGCCAGGGGGAAAGUGAAAGGACUGCCUCUUCCUUUUGGGUUCCUUUUAGGUUUUGGGGUUUUUGUGAUGUUCUAAAAGAGAUCCCCGUUGAUUUUUAUUCAACACUGCCAGAAACAGUGCUGCCCUUCACAACAGUCCCGUUGUGUUUGUCACAACGUUAUUUAUUUAUGUCUAAACGUUUUGCAGUGGCUUGUUACUCAGUAUUGAAAUGUGUGUUUGUUUUGUUCAAGUUGCAAUAAGUUGUUUAAUAGGAAGUCAGAAAUCAGAAUGUUUUUUAUUUUACACUGGGGUGCUGUUGGCAUUAUUCUGUUCGUUUCAACCCCAUUUAAAAGUAGCAACACAUUUACAUUCACGCUGCUGUCCUUGUAUAGAUGUGGCGUACAACGAUCAUAUUCAUUCACAUACAUGUGGUCACAUGUGAACCCUUUUGCCCCCACUCACUGUCCCCUGUUUGAAGUGAUGGAUCCCUUUCUGUUUGCGGUCAACCACUUCUCCCUCAACCUUGACCACAAAUGGUCAAUGUCGGGUCCUACCAUCUUGUUAUCUGGUCCCUCUGAACUAACCAUCAUUGUCAAAGUGCAAUUGACCAAUCAGGGCACCCCGGCUGGCCUCUAGUGCGCUCAUUGGUCUAAUCUCUAGUGCCAUGUUGAUUCUUAAUCAGGCAAACCCUUUAGCUUUAUUUAUUUGACUGUGUGGCUACUGACCUGAAGGAAACUUGAUGUGUUUGGUAUUUAUUUGAAUAUUUAAGUUUGUUUUUGUUUUUUAUUAGAAUGAAGGGCAUAGCUGCAUGCUAGUGUGUAAUGUUGACUUUAAUGCCAUUACUUUUUGAUUGAUUUCAAUGCGUCAAUGCAAUGGAUAUAAAAUGAAGAGAAAGAGUAGGGGGGGAUGUAGGAAAUGUAGACUUGGUACAUGACAGUUUAUUUGUGCUUGCUCAUGUAUCACUUCUUGAUUUGAGUAUCGUUGAAUACGUGACUUGCAACUACAAGGAUCUGUCUUUCUCACAAUGUUCUGCUCGCUAUUGAAGAGAACAUUUCCCCAAAUCAAAAACAAUUGCACCUCGUUGCAAAGUGAAUUUCCCCCCUAAAACGUAAAUUGCUUUAAGACCUAUUGGAAAUGUCUAUCAAUACACGUCAAUCUAAAUUCAUUCAUAUCAGUGUGGAUAUCAGUCCUGUUGUACUUUCUUCGUUUUUGUGUGCCUUGUGGUUCUGGUACUUUAAUAACUUUAUGAAUUAGAGAUUCAAGACAGAUUGACAAUAGGAUACUGUCUUUCUGAGUGUCUUUCUGACUAUACUAUGGUAUACACCUGUUAACUCAUUUCCCCACAAGAACAGCUACCAACAUACUACAUGAGAAAUAACAGAAAUGUGCCUCAUUUUAUUCAGGACUAAAUCUGGAUCCGUCAAUCAUCAUAGCCAAAUGAUUAUGCAGUGGAAUAACUUUGAGUGAAAGAGACAUAAGGUUAAGUUUCUUUAUUCAACGUUGUGGAAAAACGGUUUUAAUAAAACGCGGUUUUAUUAUCAUGUCAGAAUAUCAACAAUUCCUCUCUAAAUUGAUUGUAUUCGUUUAAUUGUUGAACAUGGUUCAAAAGAGGGACAUGGUAGAUAUGCUGUGCUUUUUUCUUUGUGGUGCAAUUCAGCUUGUUCGACUGGGACGUGAUCUGAUGGUCGAUUUAGUGUUACUGAUCUGUUGUAGAGCAAAUAUAGAGGAGUUCCUGGCACUGAAUUGACCUCUUAAGCACUAAACAAGAUCAUUUCAGACAAUCGAUUCCAUAACAAUUGACAAUCAUAGUUUCUGAUAACUUGCUUAAGACUAGUAUUAGUAAUACUUCAUUGAAUGAAUUGCUGUAAAUGAAAAUGCAAACCACUGCCAAAACAGGGACUUUAAAGGAGCCUUGGGGUAAUGUCAGAAACAUUCACACAUUGUUUCCUUUGAAAACAGAGGCAUAUGGACUCAGGAAACCACAUAGUCAAUUCAGUGUAGAGUUGGGAAACUACAUGAUUACGCUGUGUGGUCUCUAGUGCCAUUCAAAUACUUCUCCCACACCUCAUUAUCAUUGCUUCAAUUAUAAUUACAAAGUGUUCUUACGUCAACCAGAAUAAAAUCCAUCUGGACUUCUUCCAUUUCUCUGAAACACUGAAGAGGAAGGGGACUUUUGUUAUGAUCCCAGUCUUAAGCUAUGAUUAUUUGCCAAUAUGUUAUGUGGCGAAACUCGAGCACCAUCACCAAAGGCGGAUUGCUGUCAUGUGAGGUGACAUUUAUGGUCCCGUAUUGGUUGUUUCAAUGUUCUGUGGGGAAACUAACUAACAUCCUGUAUUUAAGACCCUCAAUAUCUAAGAACAUUCAAGAAUAUCAAGUGCCAUAGGACUCUCUUUCUCUGUUUACCGGGAAACCUAUUACUAACGUUUAUGCAACGUUUAGGAUUGAAUAAGUGCAAAUCUCAUCUAUUUCCCCUGUGUUGCAUGAUAAUGCCAUGAUACUGUAUCAGUGGCAGGCAAUGAGAUAAAGUACCCUCUAUCUUCUCCUGCUUUGGUGUGUAUUGUUGGGAUGGGAAGCAUAAUACCGUGGGUUUGUUGGGUGUUUGUUUAUGAUAUGAUAACGAUACAGCUUCUACUGCCUUUCUCUUGAGGAGACAGCAUUUGGUAUGGCCCUGAUCUGAGUGAGCGCAGUGGCCUAGCGGUUAGAGCGUUGGGCCAGUAACCGAGAUGUCACUGGAUCGAAUGCACGAGCCGACAAGGUGAAAAAGCGGUCAAUUUGCCCUUGAGCAAGGCACUUAACUUCUAAUUUGCUCCAGGGGCGCUGUACUACUAUGGCUGACCCUGUAAAACAACACAAUUCACUGCACCUCUCUGGUGUAUGUGACAAUACAUAUCUUUUCCUCUGUCACAGGUUGUCACAUUCAAGACCAGACUAGACCCUUGGGAAAUGGUGUCUGGUUAUUUCAUGCCACUCUAAGGGCUAAAAUCAGAUGCUGUCACCUCAGGAAUAACAUAUUAUCAGAGUGAUUGGAAGUGUUUUUUGAUGCUGUGGUGCUCUCUGUGUGGAUUGUGUGGGUUAUGCUUUUUCUGGACACUUUUCUGUUAUCAUGAACUCUCAGUGUGUUUUAAGGGGAGUGUUCCAUGCCUGCCACACUAUGUCAGGCUAUUGGUGGGACCGCCCCCCAAUCUUUCUCUGCCAGCGUUUUCAUGGCAGACCAUUGGUGGACAUGUCCACUAAUCUCCCCUUGUCAGCCUCCCUUUUGACAGGCUAUUGGUGAGCCUCCGCGUCAAUCUCCCUUGAUGUUACACUUUUGUGGAACUUGAUUCACCUGAAUCAGUCAUGUAUAAAUUUGUACGAUACUGUUAUUAUUCUCGGACAAAAGAAAGAAAAUAGUCAUGUUUAUAAUCCUGGAAAAUGCUUAUUCAUGUGCAAAUACAGUAUAUUCAGAAUAAAACUUUCUCAUUAGCUAUUGAAUGGUGUCCUCUUGCAGUUCUGGGCCCUUUCCUCCCCAACCCAGAUUGACUUACUGUUACUGUAACUUUGCCAAAACACAUUUCCCACUUUUCCCCACAAUGUGUGUGAGAAACUGAAAGAAGCUGCAGUCUGCUAUCCCAGUGUCCCCCAGUGACUUCCACCGGCCAAUCAGCGAUGAGAAUUGAGGCCGGGCCAACAACAACAUCCAGUUGUGAAAGUGAAG